CUUCAACAAGAUUUCACAGUUUCUCUCUCUGAUUGAGAAAGAGACCAAACGAUCUUUCGACGACGCAAAUUGCUUUUUUGGCGUGUUGUAAAAGCUUGGGGCCCUCAAAUCUUCAAUUUUUCGAUCACCUCUACAACUUUUUCUAGCUAGAUUUCUCCAACGAGAUCAAGCACAAGAGCCAUGGCUGCGAAUGACCAUUAGCAGAGGUAGAGCGUGUGUAAGAGAGGGCGUUUCAAACCCUAUAAAGAGAGAGCCAAAAAGGGUAUUUUUGCAACAAGGGAAAGAAGUGAUCCAUAAGGACCAUAUUAUAUCAAAAUCAUGUUGACGAGAAGUGGAUACAAAACCAAUUUUGAAGGAAGCCAUGAAGAGACGAUCUCCUCUUUCUCUCCUUUCUAUCUUCAUCAUUCGGAUAAUCCAGGGAUGACGUUGGUUUCCCAACAACUCACUGGAGAAAACUAUCCGCUGUGAAAGAGGGCUAUGCUUGCAGCCCUCAAGGCCAAACACAAGCUCGGUUUUAUCGAUGGAGCCCUUGUUCAACCAGAGGACAAUUCGCCUUAUUUUCCUUCGUGGAGUCGCUGUAACACAAUGGUUCUCUUAUGGAUUUGGAAUGUUGUUUGAGCGUUUUUCACAAAGUAAUGCUGCCCAAAUCUAUCACAUUACUCAUGAUAUUUCCAACCAUGUUCAGGACCAACUCUCUAUCCUGCAAUAUAACACCAUGCUCAAGGGGUAUUGGGAUGAGUUGGAUUCCUUAACACCUCAUCCCAAGUUCUCUUGUGGUGUUCUCAAAGAAGCCUUUCAGCUAAGACAAAAUGAGCGGGUAUUUCAGUUUCUCAUGGGGUUAAAUGAAACUUAUUCCACUGUGAGAAGUCAUAUUCUCACUAUGGACCCCUUACCAUCCAUAAGUAAAACUUACGCUUUGAUCUUGCAAGAUGAAAGACAACAUAGUAUUCAGCAACAGUUACAAAACCCUUAGAAGGUGCUGCUAUGGUUGCUUCCAACGUCAAUGGAGGUGGUCGUGGACAUGGUACUUAUGGUAGUCACUUCAAGGGUCGUGGCAACGAUAGAGAAGGAUGUGGACGCGAUAGACCACGAUGUGACCAUUGUGGUUUUUUUGGUCACAUUUGUGACCAAUGUCAUAAGUUGCAUAGUACGCAAGGAACCCGGAACAGUGCUGCUGCUGCCAACAAUUCCAGCAAGGAGACUGGCAAACUUGCCGACAAUUCCAUUGUUGUGCAUCUUUCCCUAGACCAGCACUUUCAGCUCAUGUCUUUGCUCACUGCUGAUCACACCUUAUCUUCAGCUAACGUUGCAGUGUGUUUCAGGACCUAGCAACAAAUAAAGUGAUUGGUUUGGGGGAGGAAUGUGGCAGAGUGUAUUUUUACAAGAACCCAGGAAUAAGGCAUCUCUGCCAUCAAGUGUCUUCUGUCCAACUCUGGCACAACCGACUCGGACAUCCAUCCAACCAGCGCUUAAAAAAUUAGUCCACCGAACUUUCUAUUUCUUUCUCUGAAAAUAAUUGUUGUCCUUGUGAAAUUUAUCUUGUUGCCAAUAAAACUAAGGCGCCUUUUCCUCUUAGCAUUAAUAGAUGUACUAUUCCUUUUGAACUUA